rnacentral:lncRNA from 1 species
CAAUUUCCAAUGCGUUGACUUUACGCAUUUCAAUAAAAAUUCUAUAAAAAACUUACUAUUUAAGGGCUUAAAGAGUGCCCUAAAGGCACUAUUUAACAUUUGCCUAUAAAAUAAAUACAUGUUAUUCAAUGAAUUUAAAAGAGGAAUUUUUGCUUAUAUAUGAAAUUAGGGGAAUAGUCUUGAAACUUGUGUAAUUUGGUCCCAUUUGGAUAAACAUAUUAUACAAAUGCUUAUAGUAUCAUAAGCUCUUUAUACUCAAUAAGUUAUUUAAGUUUGGAUAUAUACAUUAAAAAGUACUUACAAUCAUUCUCUUCCGCGUUCUGGGGCUUGUUCCCACCAAUUCUUGCUUAGUUCAUCCCCGAACCACAUUAUAUUGAGAGAUAUCUGAUUUGAUACCAUUUGUAACUUCACAUACUAUUACCUCCAUAAACAUAAC